GCUACAGGGUUCGGUUGGUCAGAGCGUGGCGCUGAUAACGCCAAGGUUGCAGGUUCGAUCCCCGUUUGGGAGAGUU